GAGGGGGUGCCGGAGUGGUCAAACGGGCACGGUUGAGGGCCGUGUGGCUAAUGCCUGCGCGAGUUCAAACCUCGUCCCCCUCA
rnacentral:tRNA from 1 species